CUCUCUUCUUGCCUGGGCAGGCUGAGACAUGGCACCUCUAUCUUAUCAGCCAGAGGAAUAUUGUGGUUGGCUCUCUACCAGCCAUAGACCUGAAUGGGGUGCUCUGUGAUUCAUCAGAAAAGCAGGCUGCCUAGUUGUACUCAUAAGGUAAACAAACUUGUGUGUAAGCAAUGGACAGCAGGCCGAACGUUGGGAGGGCUACUGGCCAUUGAGAGGUAGAUAAUCCCACCACAGCCUUGUGAACCACCAGUUUUAAGGAUAAGUCUCAAAAUCUCUGUUGACUGCCUCAGUCCCUUCAUCCUUAGAAUAGAAGAGCCAAGGAAACUUGCCUAAAAUCAGAAAUGAACACAAGAUUGGCCAUGAGGACCCAUAAAGCCUUAUUAUGGAACUAGUUCUUGGCUGUAGAAACAGAAUGAUAGGACAAUCAUUCUGGAUAAGUACUCAGGGUCGCUAGCAUUGGGGAAGGGGAAGGCAAGAUGAAUUGAAAAGCUAUUGGACACUAUUGCUCUUCUUUUAGGCACUGAGUAGAUCUGAUUAAUAAAACCUGGUCCUAAGGAAAUCUCUACCUUGGCUGUGGUUUGACCAAUGACUUUUAAGAUCCUAUCUGAGUUCCAGAAACCCAAAGUUCAAUGCGGCCCAAAGCACUCAGCCUUCUCCACCCUUCACAGGCAGAAACACAGCCCAAGACCCUCACUUUUCAUGCAAGCAGCACAUAUUAAUUAAGGAGCUGGUGCGCACCAAGUCUUAUUCUAGACCAGUGGAUGUCGAAUCCAGAGGAACAGCACCAGCAUCACCCAGAAACUUGUGAGAAACGCAGUCUCUCAGGCCCGCCCAUGGCCUGCUGGGCCAGACGCCCUAGGAGUGAGGCCCAGUGUCCGUGUCCUAACAAGCCCUCCAGGUGACACUGGAGCAACCGUACAAAUGCAGAACGACUAUUCUUGGCAUGGGACGCAGACAUGUGAACAGCUCUCCUGGGCAUGGUUUCGGCGGCUUUGUUCCUGUAUGCUUCCUCCUCCUUGUGAAAUAAAGGAGAUCAGUUUGUCCGGGUGCCCUUUCUUUUUGAUGAGAGCCCAUCUCUGGAAAAGGGACCACACGUCAAGGAGCACAUAAAAGCUUACAACCACAAUUAUAUGGCUGGAAGGCGUCUGAGUGAGUAACUAGCAGACAUAUGGUAUUGCUGAGGAGGUGGAGAAGGAAGGAGUAGAAAAAGCCAGGGUGCUGAUCUCAAGAUGGAAGUUGGAUAAGAAGAUGCUCUCUCUUCCUGCCCAUGCUCAAAAGGUAGCAACAAAUACACAGACAACACACACAGACAAUGCAUUAAAUAUACAUGCAUGUGUGUGUGUGUUCAAGUGUGAUUCAUAGAUGUUUUUGUCCAGAGAUGCAAAAGUUAUCGUCAGCUAUUUAAGAUGCUCCAUUACUGGCUUGGAUUUGACGCUUUCUCUUACUAUUAUGUGCAUCAGUGCGGACAUUCUUAAAGUCACUGUGUUUUGGGAUUAGCUGGAUUGUAGAGAGACACAGAGAUGUGAGAAAUAAAUUGUAAAAAGGUCUAUACA
rnacentral:lncRNA from 1 species